GCUUACGGCCACACCGCCUGGUUCACGCCGAUCUAGUUUGAUCUCGGAAGCUAAGAUAGGGUGGGCCUGGUUAGUACUUGGAUGGGAGAUUGCCUGGGAAUACCAGGUGUUGUAAGAU
rnacentral:rRNA from 1 species